AGUGAACGCUGGCGGUAGGCCUAACACAUGCAAGUCGAACGGCAGCACAGUAAGAGCUUGCUCUUACGGGUGGCGAGUGGCGGACGGGUGAGGAAUACAUCGGAAUCUACUUUUUCGUGGGGGAUAACGUAGGGAAACUUACGCUAAUACCGCAUACGACCUACGGGUGAAAGCAGGGGAUCUUCGGACCUUGCGCGAUUGAAUGAGCCGAUGUCGGAUUAGCUAGUUGGCGGGGUAAAGGCCCACCAAGGCGACGAUCCGUAGCUGGUCUGAGAGGAUGAUCAGCCACACUGGAACUGAGACCCCGUCCAAACUCCUAAGGGAGGGAGCAGUGGGGAAUAUUGGACAAUGGGCGCAAGCCUGAUCCAGCCAUACCGCGUGGGUGAAGAAGGCCUUCGGGUUGUAAAGCCCUUUUGUUGGGAAAGAAAAGCAGCAGGUUAAUACCCCGCUGUUCUGACGGUACCCAAAGAAUAAGCACCGGCUAACUUCGUG
rnacentral:rRNA from 1 species